GCUUGAUAAAGCUAUAAAUUUCAUGGAACAUGGACGUCUAUAGUUGCUAAAGCAAUUUCUUCUAUAGUUCUAUCUAGAAGUGCGCUAGCUUAGUACUAUAGUAUAAUCAACACAUCAUUUCCUUGCACUUGCAGUCGGUCAAACCCAAAUUGGAAAGAACAAAGGAAGGUGAUGCACAUAUGGGAUUUUCGCUGACUCUGUACGGAAGAACCUGCUGCUGAGCCUGAUCCAUUGCAUGGAUUAAAAAGUAACAGAGACCUUUAUGAGCUUGCUGGUGCUAAUUACUCUAAAAAAUUUACCGCGCAUGUAAUUGGGACAAGAAACAUCGGGUUGUGAGGAUGAAAAUGUUUGUUCAAAGGCUGGAGUUGAACCAAGUUCAACUAGUGGUCAAGUCUGCUGAUAAAUCAGUUGAACCGCUGAAAGACUACAUCAAUAUCAGAGCACGAAGGGGUUAAGUUUGACAGAGACAGUAAUAUUUUAUUCUUGAUUGUGGAAACAUUUUAUUUCUUGUUUUAAGUUCAUCUUGUAAAAAUUAUAAACUAUUGAACAAGGUGAUCCUCAUAUGCUCCUUAAGAAUACAUAAACCACUUCUCACUUCUCAGCA